AUUCAAAUAGUUUAAAUAAAAAUAUUGAUUUGUGGAGUCAAGGAUAUAAUAAAAUUAUUUUGGAUA
rnacentral:tRNA from 1 species